UAAAAAACAAGUUCUCCAUAGGAAUGAGAUUUAAAAUGAGGUUUGAAGGGGAAGAAGCUCCUGAGCAGAGGUUUAUUGGAACUAUUGUUGGCAUUGAAGAUCAUGAUCCCCACAAGUGGCCGGAAUCAAAAUGGAGAUGUCUAAAGGUAAUACCCUUGUGUUUGAAAGGGAGGGGUUUGGUGAUACAUUUUUAUUUGUAAUGUCUAAAGUGAUAUGUAUUGAUAUCUUUAGGUGCAGUGGGAUGAAACUUCAACGAUUUCAAGGCCUGAUCGGGUUUUACAUUGGAAAAUAGAGCCAACUCUUUCUCAUUCUGCACUAAAUCAACUAAUUUGUACCAAGUUUUCUCCCCAAAAUUUAAAGACAUUUAUUAUAAAUUAUUUCUCUUAAAUAAUCAUACUUUACUAUGUGUUUAUGUUA